UACGUAGGCAGCAAGCGUUGUUCGGAGUUACUGGGCGUAAAGGGUGUGUAGGCGGUUGUUUAAGUUUGGUGUGAAAUCUCCCGGCUCAACUGGGAGGGUGCGCCGAAUACUGAAUGACUUCGAGUGCGGGAGAGGAUAGUGGAAUUCCUGGUGUAGCGGUGAAAUGCGCAGAUAUCAGGAGGAACACCGGUGGCGAAGGCGGAUCUCUGGGCCUUACCUGACGCUCAGGCGCGAAAGCUAGGGGAGCGAACUGG
rnacentral:rRNA from 1 species